AGCGAACGCUAGCGGCAGGCCUAACACAUGCAAGUCGAACGAACCUUUCGGGGUUAGUGGCGGACGGGUGAGUAACACGUGGGAACGUGCCUUUAAGUUCGGAAUAACUCAGGGAAACUUGUGCUAAUACCGAAUGUGCCCUUCGGGGGAAAGAUUUAUCGCCUUUAGAGCGGCCCGCGUCUGAUUAGCUAGUUGGUUGAGGUAAUGGCUCACCAAGGCGACGAUCAGUAGCUGGUCUGAGAGGAUGAUCAGCCACAUUGGGACUGAGACACGGCCCAAACUCCUACGGGAGGCAGCAGUGGGGAAUCUUGCGCAAUGGGCGAAAGCCUGACGCAGCCAUGCCGCGUGAAUGAUGAAGGUCUUAGGAUUGUAAAAUUCUUUCACCGGGGACGAUAAUGACGGUACCCGGAGAAGAAGCCCCGGCUAACUUCGUG
rnacentral:rRNA from 1 species